UGAGGAAUAUUGCGCAAUGGACGAAAGUCUGACGCAGCCAUGCCGCGUGCAGGAUUGAAGGCCCUAUGGGUUGUAAACUGCUUUUAUAUGGGAAUAAACCUUUCCUCGUGAGGGAAGCUGAAGGUACCAUAAGAAUAAGCACCGGCUAACUCCGUGCCAGCAGCCGCGGUAAUACGGAGGGUGCAAGCGUUAUCCGGAUUUAUUGGGUUUAAAGGGUCCGUAGGCGGACCAUUAAGUCAGUGGUGAAAGCCCAUAGCUCAACUAUGGAAUUGCCAUUGAUACUGGUGGUCUUGAGUACAGUUGAAGUUGGCGGAAUGUGUGGUGUAGCGGUGAAAUGCUUAGAUAUCACACAGAACACCGAUUGCGAAGGCAGCUAACUAAGUUGUAACUGACGCUGAGGGACGAAAGUGUGGGGAUCAAACAGG
rnacentral:rRNA from 1 species